AUGUCGCAAUUGCAGAAGUGCGCGUGCGCCAACCGCAACUGCUUCCAUGACGAUUGCGCUUGUUUCACAAGGGAAGGGCUCUGCUCCGAGUACUGCGAGUGCCGUGGCGACUGCAAGAACAUCUGGAAACACGAGGAGGAAGUCACAAAGGAAUUCGCUGAAUACACCAAGAGGAAAGCUGAUGAAGCUGCUGCCCAAGCUGCCGCUGCCCAAGCGGCCGCUCAACCUCAACCUAAGCCAUUGCCAGCACUAGAACCAGGGUCUGCGCGAGAGCCGUGCCACUGUGCCUCGUGCAAGUGCCAAAACCACUACUGCAGAUGUGUCAGGGCUAACUUGCCUUGUUUGGACCGCUGCGACUGCAAGGACUGCGGUAACACCAAGACCCAUGAGGAGAAGCUCCAGGAUCUAGGGAUCAAGGUUGAGGAUCUUGCUUCAGGUUCGACCGUGAUGACUCGUGGGAAGGCGCAGGCUGUCAAGGAGUCUGCCGUUGGGUGUAAAUGCCAAUCCGAAUGCGCCAGUCGCUGCGGUUGCGUGAGGCGUAACAUCAAGUGCACCUCCAAAUGCAAGUGCCAAGUGUGCGGCAAUGACGACGGGAGCAGAUUUCCCAAUAAGUCCAAGGCUGGAGCAGGGGGUCAAGGGAGUACUCGCAGCAGCAGCAGCGCCGUCGAGUCGACAGGCAAACGGCCAAAACGCGUUGGAUGA
rnacentral:rRNA from 1 species